UGGUUUCAUAGGAGCUUUAUUUAAUCAAGAAUAGGAAAUACACUGUGUUCUUUGAGUGGCAUCGUAGCUUAUGUUGGAUCUGGGAGAUUUUUGUAGAAGUGGACCUUGAUGAGAUGCUACAACAUUGGAGGUUGCAAGAGACUUGAGACUGCCCAUCCUGCUUCUGCAGCACACCUCAGCAAGGCCCUGGUGAGCCCUGUGAGCACCGCAGUAACAAUGCCUCCGAACACAGCUGCUCCGACCAACCAAGCCCAGAUCUGACGGGCUUGCUGAAGAUAAGGUGUCAAAAAGUCCUGGAAAGACUGAAGAGCUUGAAAAAUCAAACAGAAGAAGAAAGAUCAUUUAACUUGUUGUAGUUAAACAACAAAGGAUCAAGAGUGUUAGAAAUGGUCUGAGAGCCACAGUUUUAAAUAAAUCUCUUCAGCCCUGAUACUCUGUUUCUCAAAUUUCAUGUCCAAGGCUGGCAGAGUUCACUGUCCCCAGCACUCCUCAUGGUUUUGUCAAAAGUUCAGACUGUAACCCAAGAAGUUAUGACCAAAGGUCCUGCUAGCUCAGCAUCCUUUAGCAACAAUAACUGAGGCAGAAGACUAAGGAGGGUUUAAGAACAGGUCAAGUCGAUUACAAUGCUUUCAUUAAAUACUUACCCAGCCUCCAAAUAUAUGCAGGUCAGGCAUUUCCUGAACCAGAUGUGGUGUCGUUGUGUGUAAUAGUCACUGGAGGAUUUUUUUCCUCCUUCUUUUAAAGCUGCUCAUUGAACUUUUAUCACAACUUUUAGCAGCGAAAAGAUCCUGCCUUAACUACAUAUUGAGUGGGGAAAAAAGCUUCCUUUAACUAAUUGUCAACCUGCAUUCUACUUGCUUGGACAGUUCCUAUGUGGGGAGAGGCAGUAGAUAACUAUUCUGUGGUCAUUCUGCACAAGAAAUCCUCUUUCCUUUGUGAAUCCAGGGCUGCUUCU